rnacentral:rRNA from 1 species
UACGUAGGGUGCGAGCGUUAAUCGGAAUUACUGGGCGUAAAGCGUGCGCAGGCGGUUCGUCGUGUCCGAUGUGAAAGCCCCGGGCUCAACCUGGGAAUGGCAUUGGAAACUGGCGGACUCGAGUGUGGCAGAGGGGGGUGGAAUUCCACGUGUAGCAGUGAAAUGCGUAGAGAUGUGGAGGAACACCGAUGGCGAAGGCAGCCCCCUGGGCUGACACUGACGCUCAGGCACGAAAGCGUGGGGAGCAAACAGG